rnacentral:rRNA from 1 species
UACAGAGGUCUCGAGCGUUGUUUGGAUUCAUUGGGCGUAAAGGGUGCGUAGGUGGUCUGGUAAGUCGGAUGUGAAAUCCCGGAGCUUAACUUCGGAACUGCAUUCGAUACUGCCGGACUGGAGUACUGGAGAGGAGAUCGGAAUUUACGGUGUAGCAGUGAAAUGCGUAGAUAUCGUAAGGAAGACCAGUGGCGAAGGCGGAUCUCUGGACAGUUACUGACACUGAGGCA